rnacentral:rRNA from 1 species
AUUGAACGCUGGCGGCAUGCCUUACACAUGCAAGUCGAACGGCAGCACGGGAGCAAUCCUGGUGGCGAGUGGCGAACGGGUGAGUAAAGUAUCGGAACGUGCCCAGUCGUGGGGGAUAACGUAGCGAAAGUUACGCUAAUACCGCAUACGAUCUAUGGAUGAAAGCGGGGGAUCGCAAGACCUCGCGCGAUUGGAGCGGCCGAUAUCAGAUUAGGUAGUUGGUGGGGUAAAGGCUCACCAAGCCGACGAUCUGUAGCUGGUCUGAGAGGACGACCAGCCACACUGGGACUGAGACACGGCCCAGACUCCUACGGGAGGCAGCAGUGGGGAAUUUUGGACAAUGGGCGAAAGCCUGAUCCAGCCAUGCCGCGUGCAGGAUGAAGGCCUUCGGGUUGUAACCGCUUUUGUACGGAACGAAAAGGUUUGGGCUAAUAAGCUGAGCUCAUGACGGUACCGUAAGAAUAAGCACCGGCUAACUACGUGCCAGCCGCCGCGGUAA